GAGGGUCGCGAUCCAACGAACUGUCGACGGCUAUAUCCCUCUUCCUUCCUUGGUAGUUCCCUCUUCCGCACGCACGCACGCACGCAGCGCGGGCAGCUUAAAUUGACUGAAGCAUCUGCCUGCCUGCCUGCCUGCUCGACUCAUCUGCUUCUGAGGUUUGACUGAUUGAUAUGCUUACACUAAUAACCACUAUCUUCGUUUACCACUACUGUACAAGUACAGCCUCUCACGGCUCACGGCAUGCCUUGCUAAGCUGCUAUGCUAUGCAUUACUGGAGAUUAAGGGAGAGAAAAAGGUUAAUUUGCGGGGUUCAUGCGUGGGUGGGUGUGGUGGUUGGAGAUGCCCUUGGUUGAUCUCCUAACUCAUUAGACAUAUCGAUCGAUCCCACUUGCCUAAUAUAAGCACGUUGGCAGCUAGCUAGCUAUGGUAUCCAUGGAGGCCCAUGCAGCAGGCACCCUAAUCCUGCUCAUGUACAUGUACAUGUACAUGUGCGUGGGUGUGGAGCACGUCACCAUUUCCAAAUUCCAAGAGACCCAUCGCCGUCCCACUUUCCCGUAACCUCCCCUUCGUCUUGUCUCCUACCCUCUUGCUGCUAUUCGCUUAAACAAUGUGCUGCCUGCUUAACAUUAUCAUCAUCAUCACCAGCAGCUACUAACAAGUACUCCACUCCUAUAAAACAAGUAGUACGAGAGUAGUAGAGUACCUACGUACCCUGCCGCAGCUGCACGAAUCACGGGCGGGCUUAAGCCAUUCCGAAGCAAAGCCGUGGCAGCUCCGGCCUUGGCCUCCUCUCCUUCCUUCCCAAGGCAAGCAAAGCAAAGCAANNNN
rnacentral:lncRNA from 1 species